rnacentral:tRNA from 1 species
GGCCCCCCUGGCGGAGUUCUCCACCGUGGUGGAGUGCCUCUCCGUGGACCGGACCGCGUCGGGGACGUGGCUGUGCGGCAGCCAGGCGCUGC